rnacentral:rRNA from 1 species
AUUGAACGCUGACGGAAUGCUUUACACAUGCAAGUCGAACGGCAGCACGGACUUCGGUCUGGUGGCGAGUGGCGAACGGGUGAGUAAUGUAUCGGAACGUGCCCAGUCGUGGGGGAUAACGUAGUGAAAAUUACGCUAAUACCGCAUACGAUCUAUGGAUGAAAGCGGGGGAUCGCAAGACCUCGCGCGAUUGGAGCGGCCGAUCGCAGAUUAGGUAGUUGGGGGGGUAAAGGCCCACCAAGCCAACGAUCUGUAGCUGGUCUGAGAGGACGGCAAGCCACACGGGAACAGUAAAACGUACCAGCAUCCUACGCGAGGCAGCAGUGGGGGAUUUUGGACAAUGGGCGAAAGCGUGAUCCAGCCAUUCCGCGUGCGGGAUGAAGGCCCUCGGGUUGUAAACUGCUUUUGUACAGAACGAAAAGGUUUCUACUAAUACUAGGAGCUCAUGACGGUACUGUAAGAAUAAGCACCGGCUAACUACGUGCCAGCAGCCGCCGUAA